AAGUCGUAACAAGGUGAACCUGCGGAAGGAUCAUUAACACGUAUCCAACGUUAAACCCCCCGUGAACUUUUAUUGCGAACCACGCCUUUGGUAGAAAGUAGCAAUCCCUGGUAAAUCAUCGCCGAACAGUUCUGAUUCAGGGAUCUCUGAAGAGAGCGGUUGUAGCGCUGUACGAAUGGCGCUGUCACGAUCGCUAGAGGCCGACACGGCCGGCGACCGGGUCACCGGGCAUAGACCCCCCUAUCACCUUUGCAUGAAAACGGGCCUGCGCUGAAUUGUGCGGCCACCAAACUCGAACAACUGUUGACAAUGGAUAUCUUGGUUCUC
rnacentral:misc_RNA from 1 species